UCCUUGGAAGAAAAUGGGGUUGGAUCCAACUUCAAAACCACCACCUUGACCAUUAACAGCUUUUUCAAGCAGGAGGGAGAUCGCCUUAGUGAUGAAGACUUAUUUAAGUUUCUAGCUGACUACAAAAGAUCUUCAUCCUUACAGAGAAGAGUCAAGUCAAUUCCAGGCUUGCUCAGACUGGAGAUUUCUCCAGCUCCAGAGAUAAUCAAUUGCUGUCUGACUCCUGAAAUGCUGCCUGUGGGUC